rnacentral:tRNA from 1 species
UGUCCUAUAGCGUAAUGGUAGCGCAGCAGAUUCUGGAUCUGUUAGUCUAGGUUCGAGCCCUGGUAGGACAA